UUGGAGGGCAAGUCUGGUGCCAGCAGCCGCGGUAAUUCCAGCUCCAAUAGCGUAUAUUAAAGUUGUUGCAGUUAAAAAGCUCGUAGUUGAAUUUCGGGGUUCUUCCGUUGGUCAGGCUAACAAGUCUGUACUAGCGUGUAGAAUCUCUACUUCUGGGGAACCAUCAUGUUAUUAAUUUAGCGUGGUGGGAAACCAGGACCUUUACCUUGAAAAAAUUAGAGUGUUCAAAGCAGGCUUACGUCUGAAUACAUUAGCAUGGAAUAAUAAAAUAGGACGGUGGUCCUGUUUUGUUGGUUUCUGAAUCACCGUAAUGAUUAAUAGGGAUAGUUGGGGGCAUUAGUAUUCAAUUGUCAGAGGUGAAAUUCUUGGAUUUAUUGAAGACUAACUUCUGCGAAAGCAUUUGCCAAGGAUGUUUUCAUUAAUCAAGAACGAAAGUUAGGGGAUCGAAGACGAUCAGAUACCGUCGUAGUCUUAACCAUAAACUAUGCCGACUAGG
rnacentral:rRNA from 1 species